rnacentral:rRNA from 1 species
GAUGAACGCUGGCGGCGUGCCUAAUACAUGCAAGUCGAGCGAACGGACGAGACGCUUGCUUUUCUGAUGUUAGCGGCGCACGGGUGAGUAACACGUGGAUACCCUACCUAUCAGACUGGGAUAACUUCGGGAAACCGGAGCUAAUACCGGAUAAUAUUUUGCACCGCGUGGUUCAAAAGUGAAAGACGGUCUUGCUGUCACUUAUCGAUGGAUCCGCGCUGCAUUAGCUGGUUGGUAAGGUAACGGCUUACCAAGGCAACGAUGCAUAGCCGACCUGAGAGGGUGAUCGGCCACACUGGAAGUGAGACACGGUCCAGACUCCUACGGGAGGCAGCAGUAGGGAAUCGUCCGCAAUGGGCGAAAGCCUGACGGAGCAACGCCGCGUGAGGGAUGAAGGUCGUCGGAUCGUAAAACUCUGUUAUUAGGGAAGAACAUAUUUGUAAGUAACUGUGCACAUCUUGACGGUACCUAAGCAGAAAGCCACGGCUAACUACGUG